rnacentral:rRNA from 1 species
UAACACAUGCAAGUCGAGCGAGAAGGAAGCAAUUCCUGUAAAGCGGCGCACGGGUGAGUAACACGUAGGUAAUCUACCUCGAAGUGGUGGAUAACCUUCCGAAAGGAGGGCUAAUACAGCAUGAGACCACGGUUUCGAAAGAGAUUGAGGUCAAAGCGGGCCACUAUACAUAAGCUCGCGCUUCGAGAUGAGCCUGCGGCCCAUCAUGGUAGUUGGUAGGGUAAUGGCCUACCAAGCCGAAGACGGGUAGCUGGUCUGAGAGGAUGAUCAGCCACACUGGAACUGAGACACGGUCCAGACUCCUACGGGAGGCAGCAGUGGGGAAUCUUGCGCAAUGGGCGAAAGCCUGACGCAGCGACGCCGCGUGAGUGAUGAAGGCCUUCGGGUUGUAAAGCUCUGUGGAGGGGGACGAAUAAGGGUUGGCUAACAUCCAGCUCGAUGACGGUACCCCUUUAGCAAGCACCGGCUAACUCUGUGCCAGCAGCCGCGGUAAGACAGAGGGUGC